UGAGGAAUAUUGGGCAAUGCCCGCAAGGGUGACCCAGCAACGCCGCGUGGAGGAUGAAUGUCGUAAGAUUGUAAACUCCUGUUAGAGGGGAAGAACAGUACCGGUUGGACCGGUAUAUGACUGUACCCUCAGAGAAAGCCCCGGCUACCUACGUGCCAGCAGCCGCGGUAAUACGUAGGGGGCAAGCGUUGUCCGGAUUUACUGGGUGUAAAGGGCGCGCAGGCGGGAUAAAAAGUCAGUGGUGAAAUCCUACAGCUUAACUGUAGAACUGCCUUUGAUACUUUUAUUCUUGAGUUCGGGAGAGAGAGACGGAAUUCCAGGUGUAGUGGUGAAAUACGUAGAUAUCUGGAAGAACACCAGUUGCGAAGGCGGUCUCUUGGUCCGACACUGACGCUGAGGCGCGAAAGCGUGGGGAGCAAACA
rnacentral:rRNA from 1 species